rnacentral:rRNA from 1 species
GUAGGGUCCAAGCGUUAAUCGGAAUUACUGGGCGUAAAGCGUGCGCAGGCGGUUGUGCAAGACCGAUGUGAAAUCCCCGGGCUUAACCUGGGAAUUGCAUUGGUGACUGCACGGCUAGAGUGUGUCAGAGGGGGGUAGAAUUCCACGUGUAGCAGUGAAAUGCGUAGAGAUGUGGAGGAAUACCGAUGGCGAAGGCAGCCCCCUGGGAUAACACUGACGCUCAUGCACGAAAGCGUGGGGGGAGCAAACAGGAUUAGAUACCCUGGUAGUCCACGCCCUAAACGAUGUCAACUAGUCGUUGGGGAUUCAUUUCCUUAGUAACGUAGCUAACGCGUGAAGUUGACCGCCUGGGGAGUACGGUCGCAAGAUUA